GACGAACGCUGGCGGCGUGCUUAACACAUGCCAGUCGAACGGAAAGGCCCUGCUUUUGUGGGGUGCUCGAGUGGCGAACGGGUGAGUAACACGUGAGUAACCUGCCCUUGACUUUGGGAUAACUUCAGGAAACUGGGGCUAAUACCGGAUAGGAGCUCCUGCUGCAUGGUGGGGGUUGGAAAGUUUCGGCGGUUGGGGAUGGACUCGCGGCUUAUCAGCUUGUUGGUGGGGUAGUGGCUUACCAAGGCUUUGACGGGUAGCCGGCCUGAGAGGGUGACCGGCCACAUUGGGACUGAGAUACGGCCCAGACUCCUACGGGAGGCAGCAGUGGAGAAUAUUGCACAAUGGGCGGAGGCCUGAUGCAGCAACGCCGCGUGCGGGAUGACGGCCUUCGGGUUGUAAACCGCUUUCGCCUGUGACGAAGCGUGAGUGACGGUAAUGGGUAAAGAAGCACCGGCUAACUACGUG
rnacentral:rRNA from 1 species